rnacentral:misc_RNA from 1 species
UCAAACUUGGUCAUUUAGAGGAAGUAAAAGUCGUAACAAGGUUUCCGUAGGUGAACCUGCGGAAGGAUCAUUAAAGGUUUAGGGUACUCUGUGCCCAAACUUCAACCCUAUGUCUUUGUUCAACUGUUUCUUUGCCGGUUUCGGCCGGCAGAAGACUUCUCAAACCCAUUAUAAAUCUGCCUCUGAAUUCAAUUAAAAAAAUAAUUAAAACUUUCAACAACGGAUCUCUUGGUUCUGGCAUCGAUGAAGAACGCAGC